GAGAUGAAAGUGCAAAUACUAAGUAACAAAGUGACAGAAAACCAAUUUUACCAACAUCUUUAUAUAUAGUAUAAGAUAUGUGUCCACGCGCAGAACCACCAAAAAAAGAACAUGUGCACCAGCCACAAGUACACACGCAUAUGAUACCUAGUGUGCUCCUCCGAGCUGAAACUAAGUGAUCACCUACCAAUUUGCCGGCUGUUAAGUC
rnacentral:lncRNA from 1 species